GAUGAACGCUGGCGGCGUGCCUAAUACAUGCAAGUCGAGCGAACAGACGAGGAGCUUGCUCCUCUGACGUUAGCGGCGGACGGGUGAGUAACACGUGGAUAACCUACCUAUAAGACUGGGAUAACUUCGGGAAACCGGAGCUAAUACCGGAUAAUAUAUUGAACCGCAUGGUUCAAUAGUGAAAGACGGUUUUGCUGUCACUUAUAGAUGGAUCCGCGCCGCAUUAGCUAGUUGGUAAGGUAACGGCUUACCAAGGCAACGAUGCGUAGCCGACCUGAGAGGGUGAUCGGCCACAUUGGAACUGAGACACGGUCCAGACUCCUACGGGAGGCAGCAGUAGGGGAUCUUCCGCAAUUGGCGAAAGCCUGACGGAGCAACGCCGCGUGAGUGAUGAAGGUCUUCGGAUCGUAAAACUCUGUUAUUAGGGAAGAACAAAUGUGUAAGUAACUAUGCACGUCUUGACGGUACCUAAUCAGAAAGCCACGGCUAACUACGUG
rnacentral:rRNA from 1 species